UGAUUUGCAGAACGCGAAGAAACUGAAAGUUUUAAACUUAACAGGUUGUCUUGAGUUAGUUGAACCUCCAGCAUUCCCUGCUUCAAUUAAACUAGAAAGAUUGAUUCUGGAAUCUUGUUGCAAAUUAUCCUUGAUUAGCCCAUCCAUUAGCAAUCUGAGCAGCUUAGUUUCCUUAAAUAUGAAGUCUUGUAAUGUGGACCAGCUGCCAGAUCUGGGUUUCAUGACGGCUUUAAAAGAGCUUGUGAUCGAUGGGACUUUUAUUGAUAAGAUUCAGUUCCAAAAGAUUCUAUGGAGCAACUUGAGACUCUUAGUGCUUGCAAGUGUGAAAGGUUAGAACAAAUAUAUGAGAUUGAUCACUUACGAUCUCUCUCUAAUCUUGCACUGGAUGGAGCUGCUAUAAAGACCCUUCCAGUUUCCAUCGGGUCGCUGGAGAAACUUCAACGCCUAUCUUUAAGGAACUGUCAGAAAUUAACUGAAAUUCCAAAAUCCGUUGGAAAGCUCAAGGAACUGCAGUUUAUGGACCUGUCAAACACGGGAGUUGAUGAAUUGCCUCGUUCGGUCGAGCGUUUGGAAAAUUUGAAAGUGCUGAAGAUGGAAGGUACUCACAUAGGAAAUUUUCCUGAAGCAAUACAAAAUCUGCCAAAGUUGGAAGAGAUAGAUUUUUCUCUCUGCCGGAAUUUGGAGAUUCAGAUGGACUGUGAUCUUGCAAGAUUAUCCUCCUUGAGAGUCUUGAAAUUGUCCUACACCCGAAUUGCCCACUUGCCUGAGAGCAUCUGUCGGCUCUCAAAUCUCCAAAUGCUUGAAUUGCGUAACUGCGAGAAGCUUCAGGCUUUGCCAGAAUUUCGCUCUAGUGUAUUCAUCCUGCGCUAUGCAUCAUGAAAGAUGUGGACGGCCUUGGAACUGUCAUGCCUGACUAUUAUAGAAGGGUGGUACUCUGGUGAUGAUCCUGUUCCAAAGUGUUGAAAUUGUCUGAGCUGGAGCAUAAUGGUAUUCAAAUUUGGCAGCAAUCGGGAGGACUCAUGGUCAACAGAUUUCAUCCGUUUUAUGUAAGAGGCGAUGGUAAAGUCACCAUCGAGAACUCAAUUCCAUAAUUAUGAGGAAAGGUGCGUGGUGAUAUGGCCAGACACUGUAUAGGAGAUUCAUUUCAAAUGCAAGAAGGCGGUAUCUCUUGUUUCAAUGAUUCGCUAAUUCCAUUAGUUGCAGUAAGUUCGUAUCGGGAGUAACUUUGAAACUCGUCCCUGCACGCGUACUACAGUUUACUCUGUUGUCGUCCUUAAUAUGAUUAUCCCAUUCGUAGUAGACUGUCCUUCUUCGGGGCAGCUAGCUUGGCCAAGAUUAUCAGCCUUGUCUGCAGAGUCUGUUCAUGUACUAAAAGCUCGUGUGGGAUUGCCUCGACUUCUUUCGUGCUCUUAAAACUUUUUUUCCCAGUA